rnacentral:rRNA from 1 species
GAUGAACGCUGGCGGCGUGCCUAAUACAUGCAAGUCGAGCGAACAGACGAGGAGCUUGCUCCUCUGACGUUAGCGGCGGACGGGUGAGUAACACGUGGAUAACCUACCUAUAAGACUGGGAUAACUUCGGGAAACCGGAGCUAAUACCGGAUAACAUGUUGAACCGCAUGGUUCAACAGUGAAAGACGGUCUUGCUGUCACUUAUAGAUGGAUCCGCGCCGCAUUAGCUAGUUGGUAAGGUAACGGCUUACCAAGGCAACGAUGCGUAGCCGACCUGAGAGGGUGAUCGGCCACACUGGAACUGAGACACGGUCCAGACUCCUACGGGAGGCAGCAGUAGGGAAUCUUCCGCAAUGGGCGAAAGCCUGACGGAGCAACGCCGCGUGAGUGAAGAAGGUCUUCGGAUCGUAAAACUCUGUUAUUAGGGAAGAACAAAUGUGUAAGUAACGAUGCACGUCUGGACGGUACCUAAGCAGAAAGCCACGGCUAACUACGU